GACGAACGCUGGCGGCGUGCUUAACACAUGCAAGUCGAGCGGUAAGGCCCCUUUUGGGGGGUACACGAGCGGCGAACGGGUGAGUAACACGUGGGUGACCUGCCUUCAGCUCUGGGAUAAGCUUGGGAAACUGGGUCUAAUACCGGAUAUGACCUUGGGGUGCAUGCCUUGGGGUGGAAAGCUUGGUUGUAAUGACUUGGCGGCUGGAGAUGGGCCCGCGGCCUAUCAGCUU
rnacentral:rRNA from 1 species